GAGAGAGUUCCAGUGGGAUGCGUCUCUCCCUUCCCAGGGAGUAUGAUUGAACGGCAGCACAGUGCCAGGGAUUCUUGUUACAACUGGACCUCUACCUGGUCACUGUGCACCCAGCUCCCUCAGGAGGGGAGAGAGUGGCCGCUCUCGUCUCCUGACUCACAGGAAGAGCGCUGGAGUGGGCAAACGCCAUGUGGAGAGAAGGAGACACGGCACCAGACCACUUCUGGAGGAGGAGCCAUCACGUGCGCCAUCUGUAGCCGUAGAAGACACACUGCCGGUCGGUGCCGUGUCGGUCCCCCUGGGAGUCGAGGUAGCAGGCAGGGCACUCUGGCGUCACCCCAGAUGAGUGGAGGCGUGCUGCUGACCCACUCAACAUGUGUGACUGACUGACGCUGUGGAGGGAGCACCACCACUUUCAGCUCCUGGGGCUGCAGUACAACAGCCAUGACUCUCGAUGGAACACACUGCUGGAAUGGAUAACGAGGAAAUUACAAUCCUAUUAUAAAAUGUUUCUAUCUACUUUUUCUAAUGUUGAAAGUUGAGAUGAGAAUGGAGGGAUAGCCUAAAAUAAAAAUCAUGGUUUAUCCUCACAACUGCUGUAGCUUUAUGAAUGUGGUAGGAGGUAUAGCAGAAGUACGCAGGGAAUACUAACCAUAUUCACAUAAAUAAUGCCACAGUGAAUUUAAAAUUCAAAUAUGAAGAAGACAAUAAAAACGCAAGAAGGAAAGAAAUUAAGAAGAAGGUUAGACAGACAGAGUUGAAUGGCAGAGGCAGACAAAGGGAGCGUUCACAUGGUAACUACUCCAGAGAGAGGUGGUCAGCUUUGGGCAUGACUGAGUGUUCUGUCACCUCAUCACUCAGACCCUGACUGGAAG
rnacentral:lncRNA from 1 species